GACGAACGCUGGCGGCGUGCUUAACACAUGCAAGUCGAACGAUGAAGAAGAGAAACGCGAACUUCGGUUCAAAUUUCACUUCGGAUUAGUGGCAGACGGGUGAGUAACGCGUGAGCAACCUACCUCUUACAAAGGGAUAGCCUCGGGAAACCGUGAUUAAUACCAUAUGACACAUUCAUAAGGCAUCUUAAGAAUGUUAAAGCUACGGCGGUAAGAGAUGGGCUCGCGUCCCAUUAGCUAGUUGGUGAGGUAACGGCCCACCAAGGCGACGAUGGGUAACCGGCCUGAGAGGGUGAACGGUCACAUUGGAACUGAGACACGGUCCAAACUCCUACGGGAGGCAGCAGUGGGGAAUAUUGCACAAUGGAGGGAACUCUGAUGCAGCGACGCCGCGUGAGCGAUGAAGGAAUUCGUUUCGUAAAGCUCUGUUCUAUGGGAAGGAAAGGACUGUACCAUAGGAGAAAGCCCCGGCUAAAUACGUG
rnacentral:rRNA from 1 species